rnacentral:rRNA from 1 species
AGCGAACGCUGGCGGCAGGCUUAACACAUGCAAGUCGAGCGGGCGUAGCAAUACGUCAGCGGCAGACGGGUGAGUAACGCGUGGGAACGUACCUUUUGGUUCGGAACAACCCAGGGAAACUUGGGCUAAUACCGGAUAAGCCCUUACGGGGAAAGAUUUAUCGCCAAAAGAUCGGCCCGCGUCUGAUUAGCUAGUUGGUGAGGUAACGGCUCACCAAGGCGACGAUCAGUAGCUGGUCUGAGAGGAUGAUCAGCCACAUUGGGACUGAGACACGGCCCAAACUCCUACGGGAGGCAGCAGUGGGGAAUAUUGGACAAUGGGCGCAAGCCUGAUCCAGCCAUGCCGCGUGAGUGAUGAAGGCCCUAGGGUUGUAAAGCUCUUUUGUGCGGGAAGAUAAUGACGGUACCGCAAGAAUAAGCCCCGGCUAACUUCGUGCCAGCCGCCGCUGUAAG